rnacentral:rRNA from 1 species
AUACGUAGGGAGCGAGCGUUAUCCGGAAUUAUUGGGCGUAAAGGGUGCGUAGAUGGCAAUGUAAGUCUUAUGUAAAAUUGUUGGACUCAACCCAAUAGGGCAUAAGAUACUGCAUAGCUCGAGUACUGGAGAGGCAAGUGGAACUCCAUGUGUAGCGGUAAAAUGCGUAAAUAUAUGGAAGAACACCAGUGGCGAAGGCGGCUUGCUAGCCAGAUACUGACAUUGAGGCACGAAAGCGUGGGGAGCAAACAGGAUUAGAUACCCUGGUAGUCCACGCCCUAAACGAUGAGUACUAAGUGUUGGUGAUAAAUCAGUGCUGAAGUUAACGCAUUAAGUACUCCGCCUGAGUAGUACGUACGCAAGUAUGAAACUCAAAUGAAUUGACGGGG